rnacentral:rRNA from 1 species
UACGGAGGGGCUAGCGUUGUUCGGAAUUACUGGGCGUAAAGCGCGCGUAGGCGGACCUGCAAGUCGGGGGUGAAAGCCCGAGGCUCAACCUCGGAACUGCCUUCGAUACUGCGGGUCUCGAGUCCGGGAGAGGUGAGUGGAAUUCCUAGUGUAGAGGUGAAAUUCGUAGAUAUUAGGAAGAACACCAGUGGCGAAGGCGGCUCAGCUGGCCCGGUACUGACGCUGAGGCGCGAAAGCGUGGGG